UUUGGUCGGGCCAAAUACUUUAAGAUGGGAGGGUUAUCUCUAUUCUUGAGUGACCGCCUAACUCUCCCCUUCCUUAUUUUUUAUUUUUUUAUACAUUUUUUAUCCAUUUUCUUAGUUUUGGGCCUCAGUUUAUAAAAUAUGCUUAAUUGUAUUGUCACCUUUUGCAUGCUUGUGCUUUUUCGUUUCAUAUUGUGUUCUUUUCAAUUGUUUCCCGUCGCCUUUUUCAUGUCGAGGGAAGAGAAAAACCAAGGCUUGUUUUCG
rnacentral:lncRNA from 1 species